CCGCAGCCGCCGCCUGGAGGAAGCUUUUUCCCGCGCCUCGCGCGCGCUAGCGCGGGUGGCAGAGAAGGAAGUGACGCACCGCGAUUUUAUUGGCUGCAGACACACCCAGCAUCUUCUUGCGCUCCUCCUUGAGGUGGAUGGACAGCUAGCUGCAGAUGGCACAGAAUGGUGAGCAUCUUUUUGCACGCCGCAUUGCCCGCUGGCUCCAAGAUCUCGGCUGCCAGAUGCAGCAACAAAGCUUCUUUGUACAGACAACCCUGGACACACUUCUAGCAGCAAUUCUUCUUGCAGGAACUGGUGCAAGAACAGGAUUUAUCCGUGGCACAGGAGCAGUUGGUGUCCACUGGGAGUGGAGGCAGAAGAGAGACCAGAGCGGUGACUUCAACAGAAGUGGAGUAAAUAAAGAUGAUUGCAGAACUUGGAAGCUGACGAAAUUAAUUUUGGAAAAGAGCUGGCUUGGAGCAUGACAGAAGAAUGCGUUGGAAAGAAUGCUGGGAGCCCAACUCAAGACUGAUGUGUGCUUGGCAGGCAGUCUACCCCCGAUCUCAGUCCUCAGCCUUUCGGCCUUUUUUCUUUCCUUUUUGGAGACAGAAUUGCAUCAUAUGGCAUCCUACACAGUCCUGCCUCAGUCUCUGGAGUGCUGGGAUUGUAGGCCUAUGCCACCUAGCCUUUCUACAAUACAAACAAAUAUGAAAAGAAGAGGGGCUUCUUUGGAAAGGAGUACAGGGACUAUGGAAGAGAUGAAAAGAUAAUAUUGUCAGAAAUUAUGCCGCUUUUGAAGAGAUAAACUGAACUCUUUUGAUUCUGUGAGGUUAUUAAAGAAUAUAAUUUUCAAAUCACGAUAAAAUCUUGAUUCUACAACACAUGAGGAUAAUCAUUGUUUCCAUGGAAACCUUGGGAGACAGUUGAAAGUCUGGUCCCUGUUGCCUGGAGUAUUAACACAAUGUGGCUGCAAAGUUAGUCUUUUCCUGCUACCAUCUCCUGAAUACUGGGAGUAACUACACGUAUGCACGAACCUGCCCAUCUUUGCCUCUGUUAACAGCUGCCACUGUCUCUUCACGACAUGAUGGCUGACCUAGGUUGGAAGGAACAGAGCCAGUUGGCCAUGGACUGAAACUUUUGGAACUGAUUCUGAGGAGUUAAUGUUUCCAUGAAUAUCUCAAAAGGAGAUGUGGGCAAACGAACAGUUAUCUCACUCCUGUAGCUGGCUGAGCUUUUUUAAGAUGGCUAUUCUGAAUUCUUUACAGAUGGCGCAGUGUCAGAAUCAUGUGUGGCCUCCUACUGCCUGAACCAUCCCUCUAAGACAGUUGCCCACUGUGCCGUUUCACACCAUCUGCAGAGAGCAACACUGGCUUGGGAGAGCCUUGCCAGUUGCUGAAAGCCUGGCUGACUGCCAAGCCUUGCACUGUAGACUGGAAAUUGCUCUCUUUGCUGAGCUCAGUACUAACACUUAGAUCUUCAUGGUCUCCUGGGAGACCAUGUCAGCUGCUGUUCAGUGAGAUAAAUUUGGAUCAGCUGGAGAUAUGCACACUCUAUGCCUUCGUUGACUGUCAGCUAAACAGUCUGCACUCCUGGCUUAGUACGGAUUUGGCUGCUGAGAGCCCCCCAUUCCUCCCCUGUGCUCUUCAUUGUCCUCAUGAUCUGGCUUUCAUCAUCCAUUAUACUCCUAACACUGAGAGUGAAGUGUCAUUGAAGAAUGUUCAUCAGGUACUACCUCAAAGGGCUGGAGAUGAUUGAUGAAUGCUUUGAUUCUUCAUUCCUCCUAGGACACAUAUCAAGCCCCCAGAAUUUCUCUCUAUCCAGUUGCACCAGUGUGAGGAACUUGACGGUGUCAGGAAAGUGAGACUGCUCCUCUGCUCCAUAUAAAUGACCGUGCAGAUGCAAAGCCAUGCAUUGCAUGGUAGCUCACCUUUAAUCCUAGCACUCGGGAGACAGAGGCAGGAGGAUCUCUGCAAGCUCAAGGCCAGCCUGGUCUACACAGUGAGUUCCAGGACAGCCAAGGCUACACAGGAAUCCUGUGUACAGGUCCUUGGUAUUGCACUCCUCUCUAUAAACACACCUUGCUUUUAGAAUGUGUGGUUGUUAAGUUGUUCUGUGAAGGCUGGAUAAAGGCUAGCUCACUAUUACACCCGUCAGCUUGCUCCUGUCACUUCUCCUCACCUUUGAGCACUUAGCAUAUCUCUCCGUUUUGUCUUUGCUGAAAUGGUUGCUAAGGAAAAGUUCCUCUAUAGCUGUCCUCUAGCCCCAGCCAAGAGUCUUUCAAGAUUUUUCUUUGGCCUUCUGUAAUUUGAAUAUGAUG
rnacentral:lncRNA from 1 species